rnacentral:lncRNA from 1 species
GCGUCCAAUCCGCCAUCUUACCCCAGAAAGCAAACAUUUUCCCUUCUGAUACAGUGGGGAAGUGGGUAUGUGGAGUGGGGAGAGGAGGAGACUACGAAGAGGACGAGGUAGUAUCAGUGGGACACCAAGUUGCUGCUGGAGAGAUGUUCUCCACAUCCUUCAGUUUCAGAUGCGAGUGCCCUAAUUAGGUUACUAAAGCGAGAAGGCCCACUUCAAGCAGGGUACUCCAUUCCCGGGACAUAGUGCUUGGGUUCUGGACUGCGUUAAAACGGAGAAGUGGCUCCGAGCAGCGGCGCCCAUGGCUGUCUUCCUCCUGACUUCGGAAACAGUAUGACCAGCUGCUUCAGGCUCCUGCUGCCCCGACAUCCCUGCAUGGUGGACUGUGCCCUGGAACUGUGAGCCAAAAUGAACUCUUCCUUUCUUAAAUUGCUUGCGUCAGGGUAGAUUUAUCACACCCAGAAAGCUCUCUUGGGCCUCGUGGGAUCCAGGUGGCUGCAGCAUGGAUCUGAACUGCACUGGUGGCCUACUGGAAAAAGAAGCCCGGAGAAGGAGGAUUAUUCUAAACCAGAGUCAAAAGGACACCCUUCGUGUGUGGUUUGAAAAGAAUCCCAAUCCUGACUUAGCUACCAGGGGACAUCUGGCUAAGAAACUCGGCAUCUCUGAGUCUCAAAUAAUGACUUGGUUUCAGAAGCACAGAAAAAUACGGAAACAAGUAGAGUUUGAAUGUUGCUCUGCGUUAAUUCCUCUUGGACAUGGAUUUUCUAUUCUUUCUGCAUCCAAGUCCCCAACAUGGGUUCCUGCACAUGGCUCGGGGAGCUUCUCAGAAGAGUUUCAGGUUCUUCUUCACAUGGGGAGAAGUACAUCAGUGAGUCAGAUUCAGGAGAAACCUGUCCUUGGGCAUGAAAUCAGUGGAUUUAUUGAAGCCUAGGUAUGCAGAAUUACAGAACAAGUUCAAGUUAGUAUAUGCAUAAACCUCAUGGACACACAAAGGGAGCCAUUAUUUUUAUUCUUAAUUUAUUCUUGAGAUCUGAUCUUGCUGUUAUUCCGGUUGGCCUUGAGCUCCUGCGCUUAAGUCAGUCUCCUGCCUCCGCCUCCUCAAGAGUCAGCACUACAAAUACAUCCAUGUCCACCUUGGUCUCAAUUUUAAUUAUGGUUUAAAAAAAAAUCAUAUAGAAAAGUCACGGUUUCAUUUACCAUCUGUUGUGUUUUUAAUCUGAAGUGUCUCUCACAAGUUCAUGCUUUGAAAUCUUGCCUCUCAGCCGAUGGCGGUUUGAAUCUGUGGAGUUUUUACAUGGGUCCUGACAGGCAGACAUAGGCCAGGGUGAUACCUUGAAAGUUAUACCCAGGGCUGGGGAUUUAGCUCAGUGGUAGAGCGCUUGCCUAGCAAACACAAGGCCCUGGGUACGGUCCCCAGCUCUG